CUGGACAUUGAGGAAGAGAAGCGUUUAUCUUUAACGUUACCUAAGAAGAAGAACAAUGGAAGGCGCAAUGGAGGCGGAUAUAUUCCUGAAGAAACUGUCUGCAUCCCUCUCAUCAGUAAACUAUGAAGUGGAAAAACAUAUUCACACUCUUUGGACAUAAAGUUGUAUGGUAACAUGAGCCACAUGAAGUUUACAGCUCUGUUGUUUAUCAGUUUCUUAUACAAGUUAAGUUUUUGAAUAGGGUCCUACUGACCUUCAUUUCUAUUUUGAUUAUAUUGUUAACUUCUUAAUAAACCUCAAACAAACAUG